rnacentral:piRNA from 1 species
UACCCUUUAGUCCCUGCUCUCAUGGGUAAA